rnacentral:rRNA from 1 species
GACGUAGGAGGCGAGCGUUAUCCGGAUUCACUGGGCGUAAAGCGCAUGUAGGCGGUCGUCUAAGUCCGCGGUUAAAGCCCCCGGCUCAACUGGGGGAGGUCCGUGGAGACUAGUCGACUUGAGGGCAACAGAGGCACGUGGAACUCCCGGUGUAGCGGUGGAAUGCGUAGAGAUCGGGAAGAACACCAGUGGCGAAGGCGACGUGCUGGGUUGCACCUGACGCUGAGAUGCGAAAGUGUGGGGAGCAAACGGG